CCUACGGGUGGCAGCAGUGGGGAAUAUUGCACAAUGGGGGAAACCCUGAUGCAGCGACGCCGCGUGAAGGAAGAAGUAUCUCGGUAUGUAAACUUCUAUCAGCAGGGAAGAUAGUGACGGUACCUGACUAAGAAGCCCCGGCUAACUACGUGCCAGCAGCCGCGGUAAUACGUAGGGGGCAAGCGUUAUCCGGAUUUACUGGGUGUAAAGGGAGCGUAGACGGUGUGGCAAGUCUGAUGUGAAAGGCAUGGGCUCAACCUGUGGACUGCAUUGGAAACUGUCAUACUUGAGUGCCGGAGGGGUAAGCGGAAUUCCUAGUGUAGCGGUGAAAUGCGUAGAUAUUAGGAGGAACACCAGUGGCGAAGGCGGCUUACUGGACGGUAACUGACGUUGAGGCUCGAAAGCGUGGGGAGCAAACAGGAUUAGAUACCCCAGUAGUC
rnacentral:rRNA from 2 species